CUUCUUUCAGUAUAGUCAUGUUUCCCAUAAACCUGGCGGCCAGCUCCACUGUUCUGUUUGAAAACGUGCCAGCAAAUGCCCUCGGGAAUGGCCCGGCUGCACUUGUCUUGCCUCACCCUUGGCAGUGAACUAUUCUCCACAUAAACAAGAGGAAAUAGCCCAGCUGUGACAUGCUAGAACCCAGCUGCCUUCUUUGCAAACAUUUCCCAUAGCUAAAAGCUUGCUUUAGUGUUUUUUAAAACACGAGAGAGCCCAAUGUCUACCCUUGGACUCAUAGAGUUGUAAUGUAACACCUGGCUCCUGAUUUCAUGAGAUUCCAGAGACUUCCAUGCGGUCCAACAAGCUCAUCAGGGAACUGUGCUUAAGCCUUGGCUGAACACAAAGAGGGUCUCCUUCUUUGAGACAUAUGUCCUCUGAGCUAGAAGGUAUUUGGAGAAGGAUUCAAAAUAGAGCAUUGUGGUUCUCUUGUUUUUCACUUUGGAAACACGUCUAACAAAAGGAUACUUAAAGCAAGUACAUUCUACGGUGUCUGUCACCAAGCAUCAGGUCAAUGGAUUGAGGCAAAGGGGGCAUGAAAAAGAUACACUUUCACAAAACUAUUUGGAAACUGGAAGUUCACAUCCAUCAGGAGGGGAGCAGCGUCCUGUUCGAUGGUAUACAGGUACUGUGAAAGAAAGAGCAGCCGUAAUUUAGACCACAAUAGCCUUUGGGGAUCAUUUCAAAAGCUUCAGUCAGCCCUGGAGAAAUGGUGCAUUUCUGUGUGCACACAUAGGUGUCAGAUAAACCAAUUUUUGGUCACAAAAAUCUCGCUUUUGCAGCAACCUUGAUACUAACCUUGCUCUCUCCUGACUGCAUAUUAACAUGGCUCUAAACUCUAACUGCUAAACGUUCGGCUGGCCUGAAUUCCCACCAAAUCUGCUGCCCUGGCCACCACACACAUUCACAAUUUUCCUUCCAAGUGUGUGGAUGCCCUCUGUAUGUGCUCUCCACCCCCCGUCUCAGGAGGCAUUGAGAGCCUAGGCCACGUUUCAGUCAAGGCUGCAGGAGUCCUAUAUUUCCACAUCUCCUCGGGAAGUGUGCAAGGUGCUAUUGAGAAGAAGAUGCUCUGUCAACGUACAGCAUUAUCACCAACUACAUUUUUUUCUCCUUGAUUUUGGUUGGAAUGAUAGCUAUAGUUAUUGCUCUUUUUCAAUCCAUCCAAAAACAAUGUUGAUAUUGUGACUUUUCGUCAUGUUUAAAUAAUCUAGAAAAUGAAGUGAGAUUAAAAGCCAGAAGAGAGGUUCAAACAAUGUGGAUGUUGCUUGUUUCAACACAGUCACCAAGUUGCUUGUUUUAAUACAAUGAAGAAUGGCACAUUAGUUGGAAGAAAAUGAAUUUCAGAGUAGAAAAAUACUUCGCUAAUUUUAUCCGUCAGAAAGUUGGUAAAUAUCAUCGUAUACAAGGCCUUGUGCUCAUUUACACAAGGCAGACGUCACCCCCUACCAUCUCCUUGCGAGCCAGGGGCCAUGCAAGUACAAAAAGAUACCACAAAGAGAGGAAGCAAAUUGCUCAGCACCCAAUAAUGGGAUAUCAAUUAAGUUCUGGAAGAGAUGAGGAGCUCUUUGCCUGGAAUGCUAGGGAACUUUCUAAAAGCCAUAGGUUUUAUAUAGGAGCCUGAGAUAGACUAUUGGGGUCCGAAGUAUAGGGACCAUGGGUUAGUAAUCUUUACAAAAGGCACUUAUAUAAUUGGGGUUCAUUAAAUAUUUGUCAGUUGGUGGAAGAAAGGUUUUGUAUCAUUAAAGAGAAGAAGGGACCUCAGACAAGCUAGCAUUAUUUGCAGAAAGACAGAUGGAAAUAUUAAAGCAGAGAAGAAAAUAUUUCUUGAGUACUUAGUAUGCAGGAAACACUGUGCUAGGCACUUCACAUCCAUUACUUCCUUUAUUUCUUACAGUCAUGUUAUGAAUUAGGAAUUACUAACCUAAUUAUCAACAUUUGAGAAUAAUUAUUAAUUAUUAAAAUCUGAGAACACAUAGACAGUAAGUGGCAAGACUGGGUCACAUCCAGUGUUUGGUACAAUAAAACAUGCUGCCUGCUACAUAAAGAUCUAAGCCAGUGAACACGGUACUAAGACUCAUGUUAAAAAUGUCCCACAUACAGUUUAAGGCCAUCUACUCUGGAGGUAGGCUGCCUUGAAACUCUGUUGAUUACUGUGUAUUUGACAUUGAACAAAUGACUUAAAUUUUAUGAUCCUUGGUAUCUUCUGGUAAAAUUGGGAUAAGUAUAGAAUCUACACAAUAGUGGGAACUUUUUUUUUGGUAAGAAUAUAUGAGAUAAUAGAUAUACAGAAAUAGAACACUCCUGGCAUGAAUUAUAUACUUGAUAAAUGUUAGCGUUAUAGAAUUAGCGUUAAAUACUCUUGCAUUGAAUAGCUUCAGCAAUCAUGUUCUGGUUAUUCUGUUGGUUUUUGUUUUUGAAAUUUCAAAUGAUUCUGAAUAAUGUAUACGUUUCUCUUAAUUUACUUUGUUAUCUUUAUUUCCUUCUAAUAACACUCUCUGGGCACUGGCUCCUCGUCUUCUAUGAUUAGGCAGCCUUCAGGAGAAACUUUGCCAAACAUUUUCUAUUUGUGCUGAUUGUCUUUAUGAAACAUCUUUAGAAUGAAUAAAUAGGAUUGUUUUUGCUUAACCUGAAUUGCUGUAGUAUCUAGUUGUAUAACAUGCUCAAGUAUAAAAUCUCUAUGCUUUUUUCAUUAGGUAUCAUUGCUCAUCCUAAAAAAAGGGAUAUGUGUCUUUAACAUCGGCCAAUCGAUGGUCAACGUUAAAGGACACAAAGUGCCAAACAGUCACACCCUUCCACACCUGGGUGCUCUCUCUUCAGAUAAAGCCAACAGAGCACAGCUGGUGGGAGCCAGAGCUGCGGAGAAGCCGGCCCCCUGAAGCUAGGACUGACUUUUUGAUAUUGCCACUGACUGCAGCCCAUUCAGAGGGUAGAACCAGACUCAGUGAAGCAGAGUGCCCACAUUUAGCCCAAAGAUACACAGCAACCGGAAAAAACCCAGACAUGGUCUUACAGAGAAAGCUCAUGGUGAGGAAUCAUCGUAAAUGAGAAAGGAAAGAUGCACAGGGAAAAUAUAAAGAAAUAAACUCCUACUAAAGAGUAAGAAAAAGAUCAUGAAAAAGAAAGGCAACAAUAAAGCUAAGACACUGUAUGGAAAAUAUGAAAUAAAAUAACAUGCAAUAAAAGAAGAGGAUAUAUAACAACUAAUAUUGAUUGCGCGUUCAUUGUGUGCCAGGCACUCUUCUCAGCACUUCUACAUAUUAAAGAAUUCCAUCUCCACAACAUUUAUGUGAGACAUUAUGAUUUCCAUUUUGCUGUUGGGGAGACUGAGGCAAGUUCAUUCACUUGCUCAGAUCACUUUGCUGUUAACUGGGAAUCUAGGAUUCAAACUGAGCUGAUCUGACUUAAGCCUAGUUUUUGUCUCCAAGGCUAUAAAGCCAGAAAAGAGAAACAUUAGAGAUUUAUAAGACAAACCCUGAAGAGAAGAGAUGCACACUGUAUAGAGAAACUCUCGCAGCUCAUAGAGGUGGGGAAGAGAGUUGGUACCCUGCCCUUAAAGUCCCUUUUGACUUGUGACUGUGCCCAUGAGUGCAUUCACAGCAGGGAUGUAGGCACACUUUAUGUAAGAAGCUGCAGCUACUAUAUUAAGACACUUAGUACUCUGCGUUAGUGAACCUAUAUCCUCAAUUGUCUGCCUUAUUAGACUGUGGGUCUCCUGAUGGUGGGGAAAAAGAUCUUGUAUUGAUCUGCGUUCUUAA